UACGGAGGGUGCAAGCGUUAUCCGGAUUCACUGGGUUUAAAGGGUGCGUAGGCGGUUUGGUAAGUCUGAUGUGAAAUCUAUGGGCUCAACUCAUAGUCUGCAUCGGAAACUGCCGGGCUUGAGUAUGGGAGAGGUGAGUGGAAUUCCUGAUGUAGCGGUGAAAUGCGUAGAUAUCAGGAGGAACACCUGUGGCGAAAGCGGCUCACUGGACCAUAACUGACGCUGAUGCACGAAAGCUAGGGGAGCAAACAGG
rnacentral:rRNA from 1 species